rnacentral:rRNA from 1 species
UACAGAGGGUGCAAGCGUUAAUCGGAAUUACUGGGCGUAAAGCGUGCGUAGACGGUUAUGUAAGUCGGGUGUGAAAGCCCCGGGCUCAACCUGGGAAUGCCAUUCGAGACUGCAUAGCUAGGGUGCGGAAGAGGGAAGCGGAAUUUCCGGUGUAGCGGUGAAAUGCGUAGAUAUCGGAAGGAACACCAGUGGCGAAAGCGGCUUCCUGGACCGGCAUUGACGCUGAGGCGCGAAAGCCAGGGGAGCAAACGGG